AUAUGGAGCAAGUCCUUCCGUAGAGUACACUUGCCGAAGCCUUAGCAGCCUGAAAGGGUGAUUGCUUAACGACUCUAAAUAAUCAAGCUUUCUUAAAUGCUAGUCACACUUUUUGUGUGGCCACACUGCCAAAUUGCGGGGAAGCCCUAAAGAUCUUACCACCAAGCUACAGUCGAAAGGUUGUAGUGGCCGAGCGAAAAGCCCUGGGUAUGGUAAUAGUGUAAGAUAUGUAACAAUGGGUAAUCUGCAGCCAAGUCCUAAGUCUGUAAAGAUAUGGAUACUGUUCACAGGCCAAAUGGUAGUGGGUGUCUUUUUUAAUAUAAAGAUGCUUAAGAUAUGGUCGGUCUGCCUCUGAGAAGAGGUGGUUAAGCUACUCUAUACAAAAACGUUCCGUAGGUGAACCUGCGGAAGGAUCAUUAACGAAUAGUUCUUCGGAACAUUUCAUCCUUACACACCUGUGAAUUUUUAAAUGAUACUUUGCUUUGGUCAGACUUUAUAAUUAGUCUGGCCAGAGGUAUACAAACUCCAAAUUUAUUUUAAACAUGAGUCUGAAUUGAAAAAGAAUAAAUUAUUCAAAACUUUCAACAACGGAUCUCUUGGUUCUCGCAUCGAUGAAGAACGCAGCGAAAUGCGAUAAGUAAUGUGAAUUGCAGAAUUUCGUGAAUCAUCGAAUCUUUGAACGCACAUUGCGCCCCUUGGUAUUCCAGGGGGCAUACGUGUAUGAGCGUCAUUUCACUCUUAAACCCUCGGGUUUAGUGUUGAACCUUUCCUUCGAUCUUUUUUCGAAGGAUGGCUCGAAAUGAAAUGGCAAGGCAAUCCAGUCUAAAGCUUACACAGUGUCUUAGGUUUUACCAAUUACGCUGGGCAAAGCUUGCUUGGAUGAGCCGGGCGGUACAAACUUGAUUUAAAAGUUGACCUCAUACA
rnacentral:rRNA from 1 species